rnacentral:rRNA from 1 species
CGGUUAGAGAGAAGCUUGCUUCUCUUGAGAGCGGCGGACGGGUGAGUAAUGCCUAGGAAUCUGCCUGGUAGUGGGGGAUAACGUUCGGAAACGGACGCUAAUACCGCAUACGUCCUACGGGAGAAAGCAGGGGACCUUUCGGGCCUUGCGCUAUCAGAUGAGCCUAGGUCGAAUUAGCUAGUUGGUGAGGUAAUGGGCUCACCAAGGCGACGAUCCGUAACUGGUCUGAGAGGAUGAUCAGUCACACUGGAACUGAGACACGGUCCAGACUCC